rnacentral:piRNA from 1 species
AAAAUAAAAGUUGUCUUCCUGGA